UGAGGAAUAUUGGUCAAUGGAAGGAAUUCUGAACCAGCCAUGCCGCGUGCAGGAAGACGGCUCUAUGAGUUGUAAACUGCUUUUUAAAGAGGGUAAAGUCGACUACGUGUAGUCGUUUGAAAGUAUCUUUAGAAUAAGGAUCGGCUAACUCCGUGCCAGCAGCCGCGGUAAUACGGAGGAUCCGAGCGUUAUCCGGAUUUAUUGGGUUUAAAGGGUGCGUAGGUUGUUCGAUAAGUUAACGGUGAAAGUUUUGGGCUCAACCCAGAAAGUGCCGCUAAUACUGUCGGACUAGAGAUUGGUUGCAGCAGGCGGAAUGUGUAGUGUAGCGGUGAAAUGCUUAGAUAUUACACAGAACACCGAUUGCGAAGGCAGCUUGCUAAGCCAUAUCUGACACUGAUGCACGAAAGCGUGGGGAUCAAACA
rnacentral:rRNA from 1 species